AUCUCUGCUGCCCAUGGUGCAGUGCUGCAUCUCUGGUCAGUUGAUAGUCUGAGAUGAAGCACUGUAGCUCGGGACGGAGGGCAG
rfam:Oryzias latipes DNA, ultracontig112, strain: Hd-rR.